rnacentral:rRNA from 1 species
AGAGUUUGAUUAUGGCUCAGGAUGAACGCUGGCGGCGUGCUUAACACAUGCAAGUCGAGCGGAGAUUAUCAGGUGCUUGCACCUGAUAAAUCUAGCGGCGGACGGGUGAGUAACGCGUGGGUAACCUGCCUUAUACAGGGGGAUAACAUAUGGAAACGUAUGCUAAUACCGCAUAAGCGCACGAGAUCGCAUGAUUUUGUGUGAAAAAACUCCGGUGGUAUAAGAUGGACCCGCGUCUGAUUAGCUAGUAGGUGAGGUAGAGGCUCACCUAGGCAACGAUCAGUAGCCGGCCUGAGAGGGUGAACGGCCACAUUGGGACUGAGACACGGCCCAAACUCCUACGGGAGGCAGCAGUGGGGAAUAUUGCACAAUGGAGGGAACUCUGAUGCAGCGACGCCGCGUGAAGGAAGAAGGUUUUCGGAUUGUAAACUUCUAUCAGCAGGGACGAAAAUGACGGUACCUGACUAAGAAGCCCCGGCUAACUACGUGCCAGCCGCGGC